rnacentral:rRNA from 1 species
AGGGAAGCGAGAUCGAGAGAUGGAGCAAAUCCCAAAAAUAAACGUCCCAGUUCGGACUGUAGUCUGCAACCCGACUACACGAAGCUGGAAUCGCUAGUAAUCGCGGAUCAGAAUGCCGCGGUGAAUACGUCCCCGGGUCAUGUACACACCGCCCGUCACACCAUGGGAGUCAGUAACGCCCGAAGUCAGUGACCUAACCGAAAGGGAGGAGCUGCCGAAGGCGGGACGGAUGACUGGGGUGAAGUCGUAACAAGGUAUC